AUAAGGAGCUUUCUGCCGGGAGACAGAGAGAGGAUUUAGCUGCUUUAUGCAGAGCGGAUCUGAAUACUUCAAGUCUAUUUUGUUACUGGUGUCUGCGCCGCAGGAGGAAUAGGCCACAAUUAUAAAUUAUAAAUAAAUCAUAAAAUGUUUCUAAAAA